rfam:Haemonchus placei strain MHpl1 genome assembly, scaffold: HPLM_scaffold0003222
GGCGCAAACUUGAGGUAGAGUAGAUUAGUAUGGUCAGCUGAUCCUACCGAUCUACUCAACUUCGAAUUUGGGCCU